rnacentral:tRNA from 2 species
GGGGAUGUAGCUCAAUGGUAGAGCUUCAGUCUUCCAAACUGACGGCGCGGGUUCGAUUCCCGUCAUCCCCUCCA